rnacentral:lncRNA from 1 species
CACCAGGCUCUCCUUCUUGCUGGGCUGGCCCAGAACCUCCACAGCCACAGCCUUGAGGCUGGGCGUGACCGACAGGUUCUUCAGCGUCGGGUAGCCCGGCAGCACGGUGCGCGUGCCGGGGACCAGGGCCGGCACGAAUCCGCGCUGGCCGGCCGGCAGCGGCGGCGGCGGCGGCGCGCGCUGAAGCCGGCUGUUGCACCGCGUCACGGACGUGAAGUGACUCGGCAGCGUCGAUGCACAGUCGCCGCGCAGGCCGUCGGCCAGCGAAUCUGCGACAUCAGCCGCCACAUCAGCAUGACAUCAGCGGGAAACCAUGCGCAAUCCCGACCACGGGCAGUCA